AGGCUCCAGCUUGCUGGAGUGCUCGAGUGGCGAACGGGUGAGUAACACGUGGGCAAUCUGCCCUGCACUCUGGGAUAAGCCUGGGAAACUGGGUCUAAUACCGGAUAGGACCUUUCUCCUCAUGGGGUUUGGUGGAAAGUUUUUCGGUGCAGGAUGAGCCCGCGGCCUAUCAGCUUGUUGGUGGGGUAAUGGCCUACCAAGGCGACGACGGGUAGCCGGCCUGAGAGGGUGAUCGGCCACAUUGGGACUGAGAUACGGCCCAGACUCCUACGGGAGGCAGCAGUGGGGAAUAUUGCACAAUGGGCGAAAGCCUGAUGCAGCGACGCCGCGUGAGGGAUGACGGCCUUCGGGUUGUAAACCUCUUUCAGUAGGGACGAAGCGCAAGUGACGGUACCUGCAGAAGAAGCACCGGCUAACUACGUGCCAGCAGCCGCGGUAAUACGUAGGGUGCGAGCGUUGUCCGGAAUUACUGGGCGUAAAGAGCUCGUAGGCGGUUUGUCACGUCGUCUGUGAAAUCCUAGGGCUUAACCCUGGACGUGCAGGCGAUACGGGCUGACUUGAGUACUACAGGGGAGACUGGAAUUUCUGGUGUAGCGGUGGAAUGCACAGAUAUCAGGAAGAACACCGAUGGCGAAGGCAGGUCUCUGGGUAGUAACUGACGCUGAGGAGCGAA
rnacentral:rRNA from 1 species